AAUAGUUUGUAGUUUCUGUGAUGAAGCAGGUGAUGAGGUGACUCCAUUGAGUGGUGACCCUCUUUCUGGGUUGUGAUUCCAUCUUGAUUUGACAA